UACGGCUCAGUAACACGUAGUCAAUCUGCCCUAUGGACGUGGAUAACCUCGGGAAACUGAGAAUAAUCCGCGAUAGAUCAUAAUGCCUGGAACGGUUUAUGGUCCAAAUGAUUCGUCGCCAUAGGAUGGGACUGCGGCCUAUCAGCUUGUUGGUGAGGUAAUGGCCCACCAAGGCUAUUACAGGUACGGGCUCUGAGAGGAGAAGCCCGGAGAUGGGUACUGAGACACGGACCCAGGCCCUAUGGGGCGCAGCAGGCGAGAAACCUUUGCAAUGUGCGCAAGCACGACAAGGUUAAUCCGAGUGUUUCCUGCUAAAGGAAUCUUUUGUUAGUUCUAAAACCACUGAUGAAUAAGGGGUGGGCAAGUUCUGGUGUCAGCCGCCGCGGUAAAACCAGCACCUCAAGUGGUCAGGAGGAUUAUUGGGCCUAAAGCAUCCGUAGCCGGUUCUGUAAGUUUCCGGUUAAAUCCACUAGCUCAACUAAUGGGCUGCCGGAAAUACUGCANAACUAGGGAGUGGGAGAGGUAGACGGUACUCGGGAGGAAGGGGUAAAAUCCUUUGAUCUCUUGAUGACCACCUGUGGCGAAGGCGGUCUACCANAACACGUUCGACGGUGAGGGAUGAAAGCUGGGGGAGCAAACCGGAUUAGAUACCCGGGUAGUCCCAGCUGUAAACGAUGCAGACUCGGUGAUGCACUGGCUUUUGGCCAGUGCAGUGCCGCAGGGAAGCCGUUAAGUUUGCCGCCUGGGAAGUACGUACGCAAGUAUGAAACUUAAAGGAAUUGGCGGGGGAGCACCACAAGGGGUGAAGCCUGCGGUUCAAUUGGAUUCAACGCCGGAAAGGGCGAAUUCGUUUAAACCUGCAGGACUAGUCCUUUA
rnacentral:rRNA from 1 species